rnacentral:rRNA from 1 species
GACGAACGCUGGCGGCGCGCUUAACACAUGCAAGUCGAACGGAAAGGCCUGCUUUCCCUUGUGGAUUGCGGGUACUCGAGUGGCGAACGGGUGAGUAACACGUGAGUGAUCUGCCCCCAACUUGGGUAUAAGCCUGGGAAACUGGGUCUAAUUCCCGAUAGGACUGCAGGGUGGUGCCUGUGUUGGAAAACGAUUUUCUAGUGGUUGGGGAUGAGCUCGCGGCCUAUCAGCUUGUUGGUGGGGUAAUGGCCUACCAAGGCGGCGACGGGUAGCCGGCCUGAGAGGGUGGACGGCCACAUUGGGACUGAGAUACGGCCCAGACUCCUACGGGAGGCAGCAGUGGGGAAGAUUGCACAAUGGGCGGAAGCCUGAUGCAGCGACGCCGCGUGGGGGAUGACGGCCUUCGGGUUGUAAACUCCUUUCGACCGCGAGGAAGCCACCUGGUUGGAAGGGUGGUGACGGUAGUGGUAGAAGAAGCACCGGCUAACUACGUG